GUGAGUAACGCGUGGGAACGUACCUUUUGGUUCGGAACAACACAGGGAAACUUGUGCUAAUACCGGAUAAGCCCUUACGGGGAAAGAUUUAUCGCCGAAAGAUCGGCCCGCGUCUGAUUAGCUAGUUGGUGAGGUAAUGGCUCACCAAGGCGACGAUCAGUAGCUGGUCUGAGAGGAUGAUCAGCCACAUUGGGACUGAGACACGGCCCAAACUCCUACGGGAGGCAGCAGUGGGGAAUAUUGGACAAUGGGCGCAAGCCUGAUCCAGCCAUGCCGCGUGAGUGAUGAAGGCCCUAGGGUUGUAAAGCUCUUUUGUGCGGGAAGAUAAUGACGGUACCGCAAGAAUAAGCCCCGGCUAACUUCGUGCCAGCAGCCGCGGUAAUACGAAGGGGGCUAGCGUUGCUCGGAAUCACUGGGCGUAAAGGGUGCGUAGGCGGGUCUUUAAGUCAGGGGUGAAAUCCUGGAGCUCAACUCCAGAACUGCCUUUGAUACUGAAGAUCUUGAGUU
rnacentral:rRNA from 1 species